rnacentral:rRNA from 1 species
GACGAACGCUGGCGGCGUGCUUAACACAUGCAAGUCGAACGGAAAGGCCUGCAGCUUGUUGCGGGUACUCGAGUGGCGAACGGGUGAGUAACACGUGGGUGAUCUGCCUUGCACUUCGGGAUAAGCUUGGGAAACUGGGUCUAAUACCGGAUAGGACAGCUGUUUAGUGUCAGUUGUGGAAAGUUUUUUCGGUGCAAGAUGAGCUCGCGGCCUAUCAGCUUGUUGGUGGGGUAAUGGCCUACCAAGGCGUCGACGGGUAGCCGGCCUGGGAGGGUGUACGGCCACAUUGGGACUGAGAUACGGCCCAGGCUCCUACGGGAGGCAGCAGUGGGGAAUAUUGCACAAUGGGCGGAAGCCUGAUGCAGCGACGCCGCGUGGGGGAUGAAGGCCUUCGGGUUGUAAACUCCUUUCGACAGGGACGAAGCUUUUGUGACGGUACCUGUAUAAGAAGCACCGGCUAACUACGUG